GAUGAACGCUAGCGGCAGGCUUAACACAUGCAAGUCGAGGGGUAUUGGUUUUCGGACCAAGAGACCGGCGCACGGGUGCGUAACGCGUAUGCAAUCUACCUUUUGCAGAGGGAUAGCCCAGAGAAAUUUGGAUUAAUACCUCAUAGUAUAGUACUUUGGCAUCAAGGAACUAUUAAAGUCACAACGGCAAAGAUGAGCAUGCGUCCCAUUAGCUAGUUGGUAAGGUAACGGCUUACCAAGGCUACGAUGGGUAGGGGUCCUGAGAGGGAGAUCCCCCCACACUGGUACUGAGACACGGACCAGACUCCUACGGGAGGCAGCAGUGAGGAAUAUUGGACAAUGGGCGCAAGCCUGAUCCAGCCACGCCGCGUGCAGGA
rnacentral:rRNA from 1 species